rfam:Gossypium raimondii Chr06_contig_25, whole genome shotgun sequence.
UAUUAAACUUUCAUCCAUAUGAAUUGUUAAAAACUGGUAUGGUUGACGGAUAACUAGACAGUGACAAGUGGUGUGCCAUAUGUACCUCAUGUUGACAUACAAGGACCAAUUUUUAACACAAGAAUUGAUGGAUUUUUUAACA